GUUUCUAAGUAAGGGCGUAUGGUGGAUGCCUUGGCAUGAAAUAGCGAUGAAGGACGCAGCGUAACGGCGAUACGUUUCGGGGAGGUGUGUAGCAACCUUUGAUCCGGAAAUUUCCGAAUGGGGUAACCCGAUCUCGCAAACCGAGAUCAACUUAGUCCGUAAGUGAUUAAGUAGUGCACCCGCUGAAGUGAAACAUCUCAGUAAGCGGAGGAAAAGAGAACGAAGUUAUUUCUUGAGUAGCGGCGAGCGAAAGAGAAGAAGCCUAAACCAGAAUUUGUUUUACGCAAGUAAAAUAGGUUUUGGGGUUGCAAGAUAUGAACAUUUUUCACUAAUCACAGCCGAGAUUUUCUCGUUUGUGAUUAGUGAAGAGAGAGUUACAAAUUUAUUUGUUAGCCGAAGAGUCUGGAAAGUCUCUCCAUAGUAGGUGAUAGGCCUGUAAGCGAAAGCGAAUAAACUCUUUGUUUGUAAUCUUAAGUACCUCGACACAAGAGAGUGUGGAGGGAAUCAUCCCAGACAAUUGGGAAAGGCUAAUUAUAUUUCAUGACCGAUAGUGCAGAAGUACGGUGAGGGAAAGGUGAAAAGCAGUCCGGUUAGGACAGUGAAAUAGACCUGAAACCAUAUGUCUACAAGGAACGGAAGUCCGCAAGGACAACCGUGUGCCUAUUGAAGAAUGAACCAACGAGUUCAUGUGUAUUGCAAGUCUAACCAAAAUUUUUUGGCGAGGCGUAGCGAAAGCUAGUGUUAAUAGCGCGAUUUAGCAGUUCAUAUGAGACCCGAAACCAAGCGAGCUUGCCCUGGCCAGGAUGAGUUCCCCGUAAUUGGGGAAGGAGGUCCGAACCGGUCGGUUGUUCAACACCGUCGGAUGAGCUGGGGUAAGAAGUGAAAAGCUAAUCGAGCUUGGUAAUAGCUGGUUCUCUCCGAAACAGUUCUAGGACUGGCGUCAAAUGUUCCCUUCUGGGGGUAGAGCACUGGAUGGUCUGUAAUGGGCGCAAGCUCGGCAGACCAAUCAAACUCCGAAUACCGGAAGGUCAAGAAUUUGGCAGUUAGACUACGGGGGCUAAGCUUCGUGGUCGAGAGAAGAAGAGUUCAGAUCGCAAUCUAAGGUCCCAAAGUUUUUGUUAAGUGUGUAAGGUAGUCGUGCACCUAUGACAGAUAGUAGGUUGGCUUAGAGGUAGCCAUCCUUUAAAGAGUGUGUAACAACUCACUAUUCGAUGGUGGACGGCGCCGAAAAUGUACCGGGGCUAAACAAAGCACCGAAGAUGCGAAUUUAUUCUGCCUCCGGGCAGGAUAAGUGGUAGGAGAGCAUUCCUAACGCAGUGAAGAUUGACCCGUGAGGGCGAUUGGAGGGUUAGGAAGAGAGAAUGUUGGUAUGAGUAACCGCAAGGUCGGAAAGAAACCGGCCCCCCGAAAAUUCAAGGUUUCCGUGGCAAUGGCAAUCAUCCACGGGUUAGGCGGCCCUAAGGCAAUGGCAUUGUCCGCAGCCGAAGGACAGCUGGUUAAUACUCCAGCCCGCCAAUUCAAUUCGACGGAGGGACGAGGUAAAUAAGGAAGGGUGUAUUAAUGGUUUUACAUCGCUAGCUUUAAGCGUGGCUAUAUAGGCAAAUCCGUAUAGCUGUCUUUAAUGACGUCAUGCAAAAGCCUGCGGAAGGUCAAGUUUUCUUGAUCAACCCAUCUGAAGAGACCUCCUAGAAAAACUUCUAAGAUUAGUUGAAUUGGCUCCGUACCGGAAACCGACACAGGUGGAUAGGGCGAGAAGCCCAAGGGGAACGAGUGAUUUCUCAUUAAGGAACUCGGCAAAAAAGCGAUCGUAAGUUAGCGAUAAGAUCUGCCUCGAGCAAUCGAGGCCGCAGCGAAAGUAUCUCUGGCGACUGUUUACCAAAAACACAGCUCCCUGCGAACUCGUAAGAGUAUGUAUAGGGGGUGACGCCUGACCCAUGCGAGAAGGUUAAAACUGGGGGUGAACUUGGAGCAAUCCGGGUUGGCUCGCUGGUUGAAGCCCUCGUCAAUGUCAGCGGUAACUAUAACCGUUCUAAGGUAGCGCAAUUCCUUUUCGGGUAAGUUCCGAAGCGCACGAAAGGUAUAAUGACUGGGGAACUGUCUCAAGGAUGAGCUCGGUGAAAUUGCGAUUCCCGUGAAGACGCGGGAUACCUGCAACGGGACGAAAAGACCCCGGGAGCUUUACUGUAGCUUGAUAUUGGCUUUAAAAUUUUACUGCGUAGCGUAGUGACGAGGGGUUGAAGCGUUGGUUUCGGCUGGCGUGGACCCGACAAUGAAACAGUCAUCUGCAAAAUUUUAAAAUCUAACCUCGACGGCAAAAACGUCUUGGGACAGUGUCUGGUGGGCAGUUUUAAUGGGGCGUUAUCCUCAACAAACGAUUAUAUUCCGUUUAAU
rnacentral:rRNA from 1 species